rnacentral:rRNA from 1 species
UACGGAGGGUGCGAGCGUUAAUCGGAAUUACUGGGCGUAAAGCGCGCGUAGGCGGUCAGGCAAGUCGGGUGUGAAAGCCCUGGGCUCAACCUGGGAAUUGCAUUCGAAACUAUCUGACUCGAGUAUGGGAGAGGGAAGCGGAAUUUCCGGUGUAGCGGUGAAAUGCGUAGAUAUCAGGAGGAACACCGGUGGCGAAGGCGGCUUGCUGGGCCAGUUCUGACGCUGAGGAGCGAAAGCGUGGGGAGCGAACAGG